rnacentral:rRNA from 1 species
UACGGAGGGGGCGAGCGUUAUUCGGAAUUAUUGGGCGUAAAGGGCGCGUAGGCGGCUUGAUGUGUCAAAGGUGAAAUCCCUCGGCUCAACUGAGGAACUGCCUUUGAAACUGUCUGGCUUGAGGCCGGGAGAGGGUAGCGGAAUUCCCAGUGUAGCGGUGAAAUGCGUAGAUACUGGGAGGAACACCGGUGGCGAAGGCGGCUACCUGGACCGGUUCUGACGCUGAUGCGCGAAAGCGUGGGUAGCGAACAGG